rnacentral:rRNA from 1 species
GCUGGCGGCAUGCUCACACAUGCAAGAAAAACGAUGCCUUCGGGCAUAGUGGCGCACGGGUGCGUAACGCUUGCCGAUCUGCCCUUUGCUUCGGAAUAACAGUUAGAAAUGACUGCUAAUACCGGAUGAUGUCGCAAGACCAAAGAUUUAUCGGCAAAGGAUGAACCCGCGUAGGAUUAGCUAGUUGGUGGGGUAAAGGCCUACCAAGGCGACGAUCCUUAGCUGGUCUGAGAGGAUGAUCAGCCACACUGGGACUGAGACACGGCCCAGACUCCUACGGGAGGCAGCAGUGGG